UAGUAGUCAUGGUCAACACGGUUGUGAUUCCUAGCAGAUCAAAACAAAGGAGAAGAGAAGCGCUUUUAUGGGGAACAGCCAUGACACGGUGGUGACCAUAGACCUCCAUUAUAUGACGGACAGACACGACCGGUUUGACAAAACAAAGACACCUGCAUCUUGGAUGCCCUUGAGGAAAGUGGCUCCUAGUGUUACCUGACGCUGUACAGAAUAUUUCCAUCUGGAUAGACUCUGAGCAUGAUGUUCUCCAUGGUGGUGUCGUGAAUGAAAGAACGCUUGGAGUGGACAAAAAACACGUCUGGCACCCAGAUCUUUUUCACCAGCCGAGCAUCGAACGUCCGGCUCUUGUUAUUGCUGGAGGGGAAGGCCAGUCUGUCGUCCUGCCAGUAAUGUCUAAGGUAGACGUCCUUGUGCCUGCGCUGGUUUUGCGUGUUGCUUCCUUUGAGCAGGGCGACGGGCCACAGCCAGGCCAGGCACAUCAGCCUCAGCGUCGCGAGAGCAAGAUCCAUGGCCGAGGCCUGAGCUCCAGGAUCUGAUGUGAGAGAUGGUGUGGGAUCAAUUCCUCACCCAGCAUCCUUUCCAUCUGGAAGUGCCGCCCAUCCCGACACGCUGCUGAAAUCUUUCAGUAACCUAUAAAACUCCACGGGGAAGGGGAGGUGCAUCGCAAGCAGAGUUAACUGUACCAUCAGGUCGGUCGAAGAUGCAACAAGCCUUCUUUUUUUGAGAAUAGUACAGAAAUCUAUAAAUUACUAGUCUUCUCAUGUCCGUCAACUUAAACCUAACGUUGUUAGUAGUCUUAUGUGUGGUCUUUUACAAAUCAUUAGUAACCUCUAGCUGUAGAUGAAGUAUUUGGUUUUUCUGUAAUUGCAUGUGUAUCUGUCUGUCAUGCUGCUAUGAUGUGCAGACUCACCAUCAGGCUAAUCUGUGAGAAUCAUCUUAACUCGCUUCAUUGAGGAUUACAGUCAUGGAGAAGAUCAAGAGAUGAAAGGGGGAGACCA